UUGGGGAAUUUUCCGCAAUGGGCGAAAGCCUGACGGAGCAACGCCGCGUGAGGGAGGAAGGUCUUUGGAUUGUAAACCUCUUUUCUCAAGGAAGAAGUUCUGACGGUACUUGAGGAAUCAGCCUCGGCUAACUCCGUGCCAGCAGCCGCGGUAAUACGGGGGAGGCAAGCGUUAUCCGGAAUUAUUGGGCGUAAAGCGUCCGCAGGUGGUCAGCCAAGUCUGCCGUCAAAUCAGGUUGCUUAACGACCUAAAGGCGGUGGAAACUGGCAGACUAGAGAGCAGUAGGGGUAGCAGGAAUUCCCAGUGUAGCGGUGAAAUGCGUAGAGAUUGGGAAGAACAUCGGUGGCGAAAGCGUGCUACUGGGCUGUAUCUGACACUCAGGGACGAAAGCUAGGGGAGCGAAAGGGAUUAGAUACCCCUGUAGUC
rnacentral:rRNA from 1 species